GAUGAGGUGGCCGAGUGGUUAAGGCGAUGGUCUGCUUCUCCAUUGUGCUUUGCACUCAGGGGUUCAAAUCCCAUCCUCAUCG